UAACGGCGAGUGAAGCGGCAACAGCUCAAAUUUGAAAUCUGGCGCAAGCCCGAGUUGUAAUUUGUANAGGAUGUUUCUGGCGACGUGCCUUCCGAGUUCCCUGGAACGGGACGCCAUAGAGGGUGAGAGCCCCGUACGGUUGGAUGCCUAGCCUCUGUGAAACUCCUUCGACGAGUCGAGUAGUUUGGGAAUGCUGCUCUAAAUGGGAGGUAUACGUCUUCUAAAGCUAAAUACCGGCCAGAGACCGAUAGCGCACAAGUAGAGUGAUCGAAAGAUGAAAAGCACUUUGAAAAGAGGGUUAAAAAGUACGUGAAAUUGUUGAAAGGGAAGCGUUCAUGACCAGACUUGGGCAGGUUGAUCAUCCGUGGUUCUCCGCGGUGCACUCUGCCUGCCCAGGCCAGCAUCAGUUCGCCCCGGGGGAUAAAGGUUUYGGGAAUGUGGCUCCCUCGGGAGUGUUAUAGCCCACUGCGUAAUACCCUGGGGUGGACUGAGGUUCGCGCUCUGCAAGGAUGCUGGCGUAAUGGUCAUCAACGACCCGUCUUGAAACACGGACCAAGGAGUCGUCUUCGUAUGCGAGUGUUCGGGUGUCAAAACCCCUACGCGUAAUGAAAGUGAACGUAGGAGAGAGCUUCGGCGCAUCUCCGACCGAUCCUGAUGUUCUCGGAUGGAUUUGAGUAAGAGCAUACGGGGCCGGACCCGAAAGAAGGUGAACUAUGCCUGUAUAGGGUGAAGCCAGAGGAAACUCUGGUGGAGGCUCGCAGCGGUUCUGACGUGCAAAUCGAUCGUCAAAUAUGGGC
rnacentral:rRNA from 1 species